ensembl:lncRNA
GGGACAGCUGUGCCAAAGGAACCAGGCAGAGAACAAGAGAUGGAAUUCUUUUACUGGCUGGCAAAAGUUAACUCUUUGAGGACCUGCCAAGAGAAAGGAGGAACUCAUUAUUUUUCCUCCUUACCCAACCAUAUCCUCAAGCAUUAAGAAGACACUUCAGAUUCAGGAACAGAAAUUAUCUUACAUUUUAGGGUGGUGAAUUUCAGGAAACUGGCAGCUCCUUUGAAUGGUGUUGAUGUCUUCUUCACUCACCCACAAAAUCUGCACAUCUAAUAGAACUCACCAAAUCACCAAGUAGUGUUAUCCAUCCCAUGGGUGCUUUGAAACUCACAAAUUACGUCACUCUGUUCUUUAGAGAGGAAGCUGAAAAUGCACUAUAUCCAUAGAGAUAGCUCCCAAACUCUCUUACCUUGUUUUAUGCUUUAUCACCAUGUCUCAGCAUUUUUCUGCAGAUCCAGUUCUGUUUUCCUUUCCAGCUUGUUGCACCUUUUGCUCUACUGGUUUUCUAGAUUUUCCUUCCUGCUCUCUCUUGGUAGGAUGUAUCCAUAGACUUAAAAUACAGAUCAUUUUCAGGUGGCCUCACAACAAUCUCCAGCCCACCCCUUAUCUGUGCCUUGUCCUUAGUGGGACCCAGACUGGAGUGGGCCAAAAGAAUAGACUGGGACCACUGCCGCUUUAAAUUCUGAGGCUCCAAGAAAAAGUGCUAAGUGUUUCCUGUUCUAUUUUAGCUACAAAGAGAAAUAUCUCCAGCAACAAGGUUGAAACAGCUUUUCUUUUAUGCAACUUCUGCAAAGAAAUGGUGCUUGAACAAUAUUUAUAGCUUUGGAAUCGCCAAGUCCAGCUGGUCUACAAACUGGUUUCUUUGGUUCCCACCUACAUUUUUGUCUUCCUUCCUAACUUCGCAUUUCACUCUGGUAGGAGGCAUGGGUAAAAGGAAGCCUUGAAAUAAAGCAUCAAAGUGAAAGAAAAAGUUAAGAAAAAAGGUCCAAAUAGAAGAGAAUAAAUAACAGAGAAAAGUGUUUUUGAAAUCAAAGUCAUCAUUUUGAAAUAUGUGAAAGGCUAAUUACUGAAAAUAUGUGGACUGAAGAGGAAAAUAUUGAAAGGAAAAAAUCCAAUGUUAAUAAAAACCAUAUUUGUCAUUUGUCAAAACAGGAUGGACGAUCAAGCAUGAUACACAAAUAUUCCAAGAUACAUUUCCUAAAGGAACUACAAUAUUCUAUGGAAACACCUCCACCAAUAUCAGAUGUUCACGGUCAUGGGUCUGAGAGAGAGCCACUAGUAAACUUUCAUAAGUUCAACAAACCACUUAGUAUGGCAUUUAGGGCCCUUUGCAAUCUGAACCUCAAAAUGUCACUCUUGUAUAGGGUAGUACGAUGGUUAAUUUAGUGUGUCAUCUUGGCUGGGCCAUGGUGCCCAGAUAUUUGGUUAACAAUUAUUUUGGAUGUUUCUGUGAUGGUGUUUUUUUGGAUGAGAUUUAACAUUUAAAUUGGUAGACUUUGGUCAAGCAGAUUAUCCUCCACAAUGUGGGUGGGCCUCAUUCAAUCAAUUGAAGGCCUUAAUAGGACAAAGACUGACCUCCCCUGAGCAAGAAGGAAUCCUGCCAGCAGACUGCCUUUGGACUCUAACUGCAACUGGGUCUCCAGUCUGCCAGUCUACUCUACAGAUGUUGGGUUUACCAAGCUUCCACAAUCAGGUUAGCCAACUCCUUAAUAUAGACACACAUCCUGGUGGUUCUGUUUCUCUGGAGAACCCUGCCUGGUCAGAGUUCUCUACAACACUACCUGGUAUUACAGGUAGUAAUAAGAUCAUGGAUUCUACCUGACUCUGCCAUUGACUAACUGUAUAAUAUAUGUUGGGAAAGUUGCUUUACAUCUCUAAGUCUCAGUUUCCUCACCUAAAAAUGGGAAUAACAAUAACUCCCUCAGUUCUCUAGCCAUGCUAGAUUACAUGCCAUGUAAUACAAAUAUCUUUAUUCCCUUGUUUCUGCUACUCCCCUGACUGUCAUAACUGUGUUCCUGUCUGCUUAGCUAAACCUUACGUUUCCUUCCAUCCUGUAGUGGUUUUAAAAAUAUGUUCACAACUUCUUUGAUACUCUUCCCUUCAAGUUGAAUCCCCUGCCCCUUCAGCGUAGGCUGAACUUAGUGAGUCGCUUCUAAUGAACAGAAUAUGGCAGAUGUGACAGUACAUCACUUCCCAGAUUAGGUUACACAAUGACUACACCUUCCAUCUUAGUGUUUCUCUCUCUCUCUCAUCACUUGUUACGGGGGAGCCAGCUGCCUGGUCAUGAGAACCCCCUUGAAGAGGCCCAGCGGCCAGCAACUGAAGCCUCCCGCCUAUAGACACAUGACUGAACUUACAAGCCAACUCCCCAGUCCCUUCACGCCUUCCGCUCCAGCCAACAACUUCACUGCAACCACAUGAGCAAUCCUCAACCAGAACCACCCAGCUAAGGUACUCUCGGUUCCUGAGCCUCAGAAACUGGGUGAGAUUGUAAAUACUUGCUGUUUUACACAGCUAAAUUUUGAGGCAAUUUGUUACACAGCAAAUAAUUAAUGCCACAUUCAAUUCAAGUCUAUAAAAGCUUUCCCUGAUCAACACGCAGAAUUUCUUCUUUCUCUGUUUCCCCAUAGCAUUCUGCAUAUAACUCUUAUAAAACUUUUAAUGUUACAUUAACAGUGUUUGUUUAUGUGUUUGUCCCCCUUGCAAGGCUGGGAGCUGCUGGAGGGUGGGCCAUCUUUAACUGUAUUAAGUGAAAAAAGAAUCAAACUCAAGCCUGGCACAUAAUGGACUCUGACAAUAGUUAAGUUAACAAUUAAUGUUUCCUAUGUGUCAUACAUUGUUUUAAGCCUUUUGCAAAUAUUAUCCCAUUUAAUCCUCACAAACACCUAGGAGAUAUAGUAUUAUUACCCCUAUUUUACAAAUGAUGAAACUGAGGUCAAGUUAUAGAGAAGCUGAUUAACUUGCUCACAGUCACACAGUUAGUAAAUGUUGCUGAAUCAAAGAAUGAAUGAAUGAAAGAAUGUUUCUUACAAACAGGACCAUAUACGACUCACAUAAGAGUCUCUUAC